rnacentral:ncRNA from 1 species
UAAAAGACUAUGAAAAGAAGAGUACAGACUAGAUUAUGAGUAAAGCGAGUCCCGUUUGGUGUGAGGGGAUCUGAUAAAAGGUUUGGAAGUGCAUCUUGGAGUCGUAUGGGUGACGUUAUAAUCAGCCCAUAACGGGAUUGCCCGUUACAGCAAGCCAUUAUAGAAGAAAUUCCGUAUUGGACUGAGCAACAGCUUGCUUUUUUGCGUGCUGUUACUUAAGGUGGAACCGUAAAAUUAACUAUUUUACCCUUAAG